rnacentral:lncRNA from 1 species
CUUUCACAUGGAACCCCUUAGAGUUGUAAGGCCUUAAAACUCUGGCUUCCUGGAGCUCGGUUCUUGAGACGCGAGUCUGCCAAAACUCCCCGCCGUUGAGACGCGAGUCUGCCGAGGCUCACAGCCCAAUAAAGCCAAAUCCUUCGUAGCCGGGUGUCUGAGGGGUUUUGUCCGCGGCUGUCCUGCUUCAUUUCUUGGUUCCCUGACCAGGAAGAGAGGUGGUUGAUGGACGGUCGAGGCAGCCCCUUAGGCAGCUUAGGCUUGCCCUGGGAAGUAUUCCUACGGGGGACUCCGGCCAGCUUGAGCGAUGCGGAUCCUGAGAGCGCUCCAGGGUAGGCAUUUGCCUCGGUGGAACGCCUCGUCAGAGCAGUGCACUGCAGGCCCCCGCGGAGGAUCAAUGCAGCAGCCGAACACCGGGAAGGAACUGGCGCUUGGAGUCUGGACAUCUGGAAUACGACUUCAGGGAGCCAGGAUGUCAGCAGCCUGGAGAGCUGAAGAAGGGAAGCAAACAUCUUCAAGACGUCUCCCGGCCUGCCCACUGCUCUGCCCAGGCUUGGAGGGAGGGAGAAAGGGACACAAAAGUUCAUGUCACACUCCAGGCUAAAAUUCUCCCAGGUGCCCUACCAUUACCUACAGGCAAACAGCCUAAUUCCUGUUUUCCCAAGACAGGAGAAGCCCUGCACAACCUGGCCUGGCCUCUCCCAUCCCUGUUCCAGGCAUGCUUUCUUGUGUGGAUCACUCACUCCCACCCUCAGAGGGGCCAGGCAUUUCCACACCUCUCCACUUUUGUCUCAAAUAAAAAUAUUCUGGAAUUAGA